UACUUGAUUCACCUUUUCGGAGAAUGAUAAGACAAUUAUUGCAUUAAUUUAGUUAUUCAGAUUUCCACGAGCUGCAAAUCAGAGCCAACCUGUAACAAAGAGAAACAAUUGUUAUCCGACUGCUUGCUUUAAAUAUGUUUGAAACGAAUUCAUAAUCUAAAAAGACUGAAGCACGGAAAUGUAAUGUCAUGAAUUUAAUGUAUCUGUUUCAGAUAUCGGAUUUGGUACAUUUUGUAUACGCAUUUCCCCAUGACAUUGAAUUCGGUCACGAUACAUGAAAUGGCACAAUAGGACAGACGGAUCACGAGCUGCACGGUGUCUUGUUUCUAAAGGCACAGCUUAGGCCAGAGCGUUCAUUAUGUGCCAGGAGUGUGGUAAACGUAUGAUUGUGUACAGAAAAAUUGACGUCAUCGGAGGCUCAGUCGGUCACCAGCGUUGAGGAAGAGCUUCUUUAUAUAUCAGGGAUCCGCUCUUCCACGCAAGGAUUUACAGGUUAAACAAUGAUUUUUGAAGAUAUCUGCUUCUACUGUGGGGACAGUGAUGCUCUUGACACGGAUGGUGUCUUGAGCUUUUGUCAGUAUUAAUUCGGGUGUUUCAGUUUUUCUAUGAGCUUUUAAAGCAAUCUUAUGUUCAUUGAUGGACGAAAAUUGGUUGUGUGGCAUAUUAAUGUUUAAUUUGUAAGUAAAGUUGUUUUAUUAUCAAUCAGUAUCAGUCACAUAUUUUAUAACAAUCAAGUAUUUUAUUUUGUUAUAAUAUGUUCUGUGUAUUUGUCAAAUAGUCUCUUGUUUUUCUGUAUAGAAUGACCAUAUUCUUGUUUUAUGUGUUGCAUGUAACUUUUAGUAUGUAUAUGGACGAGACUCAAAUAAUUAUAUAAUUCUAGUUUUAAUUAUGAUGGAGUGCGAGAUUUAAAGGAACGCUUUAGCAUGGUAUGUCCGAUAUGCGCAACAUGCAGGGAAACAAAACCUAUCAAGACCAGAGGUGCUAAGAAAACAAUUAAGGGUGCAAAAAUGACAGUUCAUAUCACCAGAAAGAGAUGUUUUGAAGUCUUAAAAGAGACAGUGAAAACUGAUGUGUUCAUUUAGUCAUAGCAGUGACAUUGUUAAAAUUGUUGUAUAGAAUGUCUUAUUUCUAAUAGUGACAUUUUGUCGUUAUGUUUGGAAGCUGUUUUCUAGUUCUUGAAAACACAUUAUCUAGUCAUGUUUAUAAUGCCUUAAUAUGUUCUAGUUUUAAUAGAGACAUUAUUAAGUCAUGGUUUAAAUGCCUUAAUGUGUUCUAGUUUUAAUAGAGACAUUAUUUAGUC